UCCUGCAAAAGAAGAAGAGUGAGAGAGAAGGACUGAGAGAAGGUUUGAGAGAGAGAGAACGGAUUUGCCGGAGUUUUCGUCGGAGAGUUGCCUAUAGAAUCCAUUCCCUACUAAGACCUGUACUCUGGAGCCCUUCUUAGAGUGAAGUAAGAACUCGUGUGGAGAUUUCCUCCUCUUGCCUCAAGAUCAGAAACAAAAAAAAAAAACCCAAGGGAAGAUUCGCCACUGAUCUUGGUGAGGAAAACGGACGAAACGACGAGAUCGGAGAGACUACCCAAGAACGGAGGGAGAAGCCGCCGGCGUACCACGUGGCAACCAGCUAGAGGGCCGCGUGCGCCAAUCGCCUCUGGACACGCGUCAAGCGUCGCCUGGGAAAACGCGGCUCCAGCUCUCCUGCGACACGCGUCCCUGGCUUCGCGACCCGACCCGUGCUCCUUGGCUGACCCGAUACCCGCACGGCGAACGGAAUCAAGCCGACGACCCGCGGUCCACCCGAAUCACUGCUUUCGACUCGAACCCGCGACCCGCGACUGCAGAAAUCUCUGGGCGCGUGACAUUCGCGCGUGGGAUCUGCGAGUGGCUGCUCCCCGGCGUGUGACUGGCGCGUGGAGGCGCGUGACCUAAUUGAGGAAAAAUCACCCUCUUUCGAUACGCCAAGUGUGUGGAAACGCUACGUAAGGGCACGUAGCAUCUAGGUAAGUCACCACACGGAAUUUAGGAAGUAAUACUUGUAGGAACCGCUUGGGAUGCAUGCAUGCUAGUUUGAAUUACCUUAGGUUGUAGCUUUCCGUAAUGAUCUUGGGAAAUAGAUUAUUGAAAGUAAGAUGUAUGCUGUGAUUUGUUAUGAGAGUUACUUGGAUACUGCUUAUAUGCUUUUAAUUCCCAUUUUUUUUUAUGCAUAUGUACAUCUUUUUGCUGAAGGGAGGAUGUGAAAUUGCGAACUCUGUGCUCCGGGAGUUGAUGGAUGUUAUCACCCCGUCGAGCUUGUAUGAUUACUUUGCAUGAAAUGUGUUUGAGGAUUUUGGAUAAUAGUUAUGUACGUACUCAGUUAUUUUCAUGGUCACCUUUAUGAAUAAGACUAGAGGACUAUGGUUAGAGCGACAAGCCACCAAGGGAUAGACUUAACCUUUUCCUAUUAGUUUAACAGACCAUCACGGCACAUGAAACAUCCUUAGAGUACCCUUAGGCUGCUUGUGUGUGGAUGGUGAUAUAGCUUCGUGGGGGACCAGCGGGUUCCUGAUCAGGACUCGACUGCUCGAUAGCCGUUUAGUAUGGGAAACGGGAUACCCACGUCGUAAUUGACCGUUUAGCUGGAUGGAAUAGGGGAGGUAGCUCUCCCAAAUACAGGGGGAUUAUCAUGGGUCUAGGGGGUUGCAGCUCACUUCCUAGGUGAGACCCUAGGUAAUCUCAUACCCAUGCCGAGGUAGCCACUCGCAAGGCACCAGUCCAACACAGGUUAGCAUAAAAGGAACUCUAUGGGUUUAAAUAAAAGGUCUAAGAACCAAAGAAGUCCGAAGGGACAAGUUCCAAGAGGGUAAGCCCUAAUGAGGUAAGGCCAGAUUAAGUUGUUCUAGAGCCAAAGGAAAGUCCGUGAUCGUUUGCUAAGUUUAGGGUGCGAUAAGAGCCUACAAGUAGGUGGCUUACUGAGUAUAAUUUUUAUACUCAUUCCUGUUAUACCCUUUUUUUUUCUUCAGGUACGUGAGGCGUCGAGUCAAGAGAGGGCGCGUCGAUCGAUGUGGGUUGUCACAGAGGAAGCGUGUCCCGGGGCGUCAGUCUAGUAUAUUGAAUAGUUCACUUGACCUUAAUGUUUCUUUUCUUGUUUUUACCUAGGCACUUAUGUCCUUUUAAUAAAGAUACGUUUUUCUUUUGAAACAAAUGAUUUCCUUAAAUUUCUCGUUUAUA